rnacentral:rRNA from 1 species
AUGGACCCAAGUGAGAUUUUGAACGUUCGGUUUCAUAUUGGAGGGAAGUUCAUCCACAUUGGUCCAAAUUUGGACUAUGUUGGGGGAGAUCAAGCAAUGUCAGAGAUUGAGAGGGAUAAAUUGUCACUGCAGGAAGUGAAAGGCUAUUUAAAAGAUCAUACUCAGUUGAUGGAAUCGAUGAAGUUCUAUUUUCUGCUUCCUGGAAAAGAGCUUAUCAAUGGUUUGGUGUUCCUUCAUGAUGACAGUUCGUGUGUGAAGAUGUCUGACUACAUUUGUGUUGGAGGAGUUGCUGAUGUGUAUGUGGAGUAUCAUGGAGAGGAAGAUAGCAAUGACAGCAGCAGUAGUGGGAGUGAUUUUGAGGAUGAACUCAUGGAACAGAGUGAUGAUGAAGAACCAGUGCCAGUAAAUGCUGUUGAACCUGCAGAGUCUGACACUGAUGUGCUCAUACCUGAUGAAACUGGUGUAAUCACUGAAAGAAUUUGCAGCCCCUUGAAGCAGAGAAGAAGCAGA